CCUACGGGAGACAGCAGUGAGGAAUAUUGGUCAAUGGGCGAGAGCCUGAACCAGCCAAGUCGCGUGAGGGAGUACUGCCCUAUGGGUUGUAAACCUCUUUUGUCGGGGAGCAAAAGCCGGACGUGUCCGGCUGUGAGAGUACCCGAAGAAAAAGCAUCGGCUAACUCCGUGCCAGCAGCCGCGGUAAUACGGAGGAUGCGAGCGUUAUCCGGAUUUAUUGGGGUUAAAGGGUGCGCAGGCGGAUUUUUAAGUCAGCGGUCAAAUCGUGGGGCUCAACCCCAUCCAGCCGUUGAAACUGGGGAUCUAGAGUGUGCGAGAGGUAUGCGGAAUGCGUGGUGUAGCGGUGAAAUGCAUAGAUAUCACGCAGAACCCCGAUUGCGAAGGCAGCAUACCGGUGCACAACUGACGCUCAGGCACGAAAGCGUGGGUAUCGAACAGGAUUAGAUACCCCUGUAGUC
rnacentral:rRNA from 1 species